GCCAAAAUACACCUUUGUUCUAUACUUAAUCUCUCCUUAAACUAGAUAGUGUGAAGGACUAACUUUUAUUCCGAGAGUAGAUUCGGAUUAGUUUACUCCUUCCUUACUCCAUGUUUAUUAAUACUGAAUUUUAUUACUCUUACCUUAAGCCUAGGAGUAAAGUUAUUCUUGCUCUAGUCUGUGUUUAUUAAUAAGGCUGUAAGGGCCUAAGUACUUAUG